UAAUAGAUGAGUUUGGUGAUGGCUCUGAUUGAACACUGUCCAAAUGCUUGACACAUGCUAAUCGAACGUUUAAUUUAACUAAUAAUUUUAUUAAAAGUGGUGAACAGGUGAGUACUUGAUUAUCAACCUACCUUAAAGCAAGGGGAAAUCCCUUAUAUUAACAAAGGUUAUUCCGUUUUAAGAUGAUUAGAUAAAUCAUAGAGAUAGGUAGUUGUUAAGGUAAUGGCUUAACUAGCCCAAAAUUCUCUUAGUCGAAACUGAAAUGGUUGAUCGACCACAUUGGGGCUGAAAAAAACCCAAUACAAGUGAGUACAGCAGUGGGGAAUAUUGGUCAAUGGCCUAACGGCUGAACUGGCAACUUGGAGGAAUGGCCUAUCUUAUUAAGUAAAUAGUAAGAAUUAGAGUGAAAUGAUGGUUAAAUCGAUUAUCGAAUAAAAUUCUAAAUAUAUAAAUUAUAAUGACUAUAUAUAUUUAUGUCUUGACUAAUUACGUGCCAGCAGUCGCGGUAAUACGUAAGAGACUAGUGUUACUCAUUUUUAAUAGGUUUAAAGGGUACCCAGACGGAAGAAAUUUGCCUGGAAAGGAACAAUUUCUAUCUAGAGUUUAAUAUAAGAAGGUCGUACUUGUGGAAUAGAGAUGAAAUACUUUUAUACCUAAUAAGGGACUGGUAAAGGCGAAAGCAACCUUUUAUGUAAAAACUGACGUUGAAGGACGAAGGCUUAGAACACGAAUAGGAUUAGAUACCCUAGUAGUCUUAGCAGAAAAUGAUGAAUGUCAUAGGUUAGGUUAUACUUAGUCUAUAAAUGAAAAUGUAAGCAUUUCACCUCAAGAGUAACGUGGCAACACGGAAACUGUAAUCACUAGACCGUUUCUGACAUCAGUAGUGAAGUAUGUUAUUUAAUUCGAUGAUCCACGAAAAACCUUACCACAAUUAGAAUUGUAUUUAUAUUAUUUAUAUUAUAAAUAUAACGAGUGUUGCACGGCUGUUUCCAGUUAAUGUUGUGAAACUAUGGCUUCGGCCAUGAAAUUAACGAAAACCCUUGCUUUAUUUAUAAAUAUUUUUUAAUAAAGCUGCUUUUAUCAUCAUACCGAUAAAAUAGUAGGGCCAAAGACAAGUCAUCAUGGCCUUUAUAUUGUGGGCUAUAGACGUGCCACAUAUUCCUAGACAAAGAGAUGCGAAAAUGCGAAUUUAAGCUAAUCUCAAAAAAUAGGAUAAAAUAGGAUAAGGAUUGUAGUCUGAAACUCGACUACAUGAAUAAGUAAUUACUAGUAAUCGUGAAUCACCAUGUCACGGUGAAUAAUAUCUCGGAUUGGUACUAACCACUCGUCGCAUGCUGAAAGGAGUGCGUGCAAUAAGUUUGCUUUCUUGUUGUAAGUAAGUAAAUAAUAGGAUUUAGAUGUUACAAUAAGAUUCUUCAUGUGCAUAACUCUGAUUAGUGUUAAGUCGAAAUACGGUUCGUGUAGUGGAAGUUGCACGGAGCUAAUUAAAACU
rnacentral:rRNA from 1 species